rnacentral:lncRNA from 1 species
CCAUCCAUUUUAAGAUCAGAAUUUUUUUAUUAUUCAUAUUGAUGUGAUUAGCGAAAGUCACUCCGUCUAGGAUAGAAAAAAAGUAUAAAAUGUAGCAGUCAUAUGAAUGACGUAGCGUUUUCAACCAAUAGUAUUUGUUCUAUAGAGUUCACCUAUUCCUAAUCGGUAUGAAUAAUCGAAAUAUUAUUCGAACCCGAAUCCGAAUAGGGUGGGUUUACUCGAGCUAAAAACCCGACAAAUAUGGAUACGGAUAUGAAUUUUAUAUUUAUCCGAUCCAAAUCCGAAUAAAUUAUAUAUAUAUAUAUAUAGAGUCCGGCUAUGGUGCUUGUAAAAGUACCAACUACUUGGUACUUGUAGGUUUUUUACCGUUAGAUCUACGUCCUUGAUCAUUUUCAACCGUUAGAUUAUACUAUUCAACCAACUAUCCACUCAACCCUAGGGGGCCUACAUCAUCCUCACCGUACAUCUCUUAAUCCAAGGGCCAAAAACUUACAAGUACCAAUGACUUGGUACUUUUAAAAUCAUAGUAGCUCAAUUAUAUAUAUAUAUAUAUAUAUAUAUAUAUAUAUAUAUAUAUAAAAUUUAUUUUUAUUUAUUUAUAUAAUAUAUAAAAUAUUUAAUAUUAUUUAUUUCUUAGAUUUUCAUCCAACGGUAUGGAUUUUUAAACCCGCCGGAUUUGAAUCCGGGUUCAGAUUUUAAUUUGGUUUUCGGGUUCGUGAAAACCCGACCCGUUGAUAUCCCUACCUAUUCAAUCAUGAGAUUUUAUUGGUUAGGAUAUGCACGCUGUGGUGUAACUGCUAUAUAGUUGAAUUUUUCUCUAAAAUUAUAAAACAUGUGACAUUUUAGUUUUCAAAUUUUAAUUUGCUAUAAUUUUUGUCUCAAACCUUCAUAAUUAUUAUAAUUAUUUUCUAUAAUGCAAUUUAAUCCUAUAAUUCAAAAAAAUUGCACCCCUUUUAAACUAUUUGGGCCGAUGAUUUAAACCUAAUGAGUUACAAUUGUUAGGAAGUUAU